rnacentral:rRNA from 1 species
GUGAAGGAGAAGGUCUUCGGAUUGUAAACUUCUGUUGUUGAGGAAGAUAAUGACGGUACUCAACAAGGAAGUGACGGCUAACUACAUGCCAGCAGCCGCGGUAAAACGUAUGUCACAAGCGUUGUCCGGAAUUACUGGGUGUAAAGGGAGCGCAGGCGGGAAGACAAGUUGGAAGUGAAAUCCAUGGGCUCAACCCAUGAACUGCUUUCAAAACUGUUUUUCUUGAGUAGUGCAGAGGUAGGCGGAAUUCCCGGUGUAGCGGUGGAAUGCGUAGAUAUCGGGAGGAACACCAUUGGCGAAGGCGGCCUACUGGGCACCAACUGACGCUGAGGCUCGAAAGUGUGGGUAGCAAACAGGAUUAUAUACCCUGGUAGUCCACCCUGUAAACAAUGAUUACUACGUGUUGGAGGAUUAACCCCUUCAGUGCCGCAGUUAACACAAUA